CCUACGGGCGGCAGCAGUGAGGAAUAUUGGUCAAUGGCCGUAAGCCUGAACCAGCCAAGUCGCGUGAGGGAUGAAGGUUCUAUGGAUCGUAAACCUCUUUUGUAAGGGAGUAAGGUGUGGGACGUGACCUGUUUUGUAUGUACCUUAUGAAUAAGGAUCGGCUAACUCCGUGCCAGCAGCCGCGGUAAUACGGAGGAUCCGAGCGUUAUCCGGAUUUAUUGGGUUUAAAGGGGGCGUAGGUGGGUUGUUAAGUCAGCUGUGAAAGUUUGUGGCUCAACCAUAAAAUUGCAGUUGAUACUGGGGGUCUUGAGUACAGUUGAGGCAGGCGGAAUGCGUGGUGUAGCGGUGAAAUGCUUAGAUAUCACGAAGAACCCCGAUUGCGAAGGCAGCCUACCAAGCUAUGACUGACGCUGAUGCACGAAAGCGUGGGGAUCAAACAGGAUUAGAUACCCCUGUAGUC
rnacentral:rRNA from 1 species